UACACCACACCACCUUGAGAAUGCCUGAUCUUGUCUGGUCUCUGAAGCUAAGCAGGGUCAGGCCUGGUCAGCACUUGGAUGGGAGACUGCAAGGAAUAUGAGGUGCAACAGUGG
rnacentral:rRNA from 1 species